GCCUGGCUCAGAGGCAAGACCUUGAUUCAAAUCAGCAUGUUUUGCAGAGGCUUUUAAGUUAGCUCAGCAAUCCAAAUAACUCCCCGUGGAGCAAUUCAGGACAAUAUUUUCCCCAAACUCUGCAGCUAAACUAGCCUUUUUGACCUUGUCCAAAACCCAUAGGCUGCAGCUUCUCAAUUAAGUCAGUCUGGCAUCACUAUCAAAUACUGUGCACCUAACGUACAUUUAGCUGCCUGACAUCUUGAACCUCUUUAGAGGUUUUCCAGGCUCUAAUGGAAGGUUUUGUGUCACCAGAACAGAACUGAGUUUUGACUGCUUAAAGAACUGGAUUUGUUUCCUUUCAAGAGUGCUCUUUGAGUGGUCUUGUUAAAAUAAGAUGAAUGGUCAUAUCACUGACCAUGUUUGUUCUGAGACCUAUUUAAUCUGAUUUUAGUCUUUUCUGAAAAGUCUUUUCUUAUGGCCUUUUCUAAAAGUAUUUUACUCAGCCAAGGAGGAAUACAUAUCUCAGAUAUCAAAAAUGUAGUAAUGCCUUCUAGUUAAUCUCUUUCUUCAGUACUCAGCUAAGUCAUUAUCAUUGCUUUAAAGCUGCUUGAAAAAAGAAUAUUUUCCUCAAAAAUAUGUUUGGAAGGUUUUUCCUGAGAUUUUGAAGUAUUCUUCAGAUGACUUUUGUUCAGGAAUCGUCUGAAGUUGGUAUCUAACCAGCUGGUCCAUUUGACAUUUUGGCCCAUUGUAUAAGCUGAUUUGGGGACAGUAAUCACAAAUCUCCAGGAACAGUAUUUUGUAGAUUAGUAGCAUCUUAUCAAACAUGUUUCCUAGGCCCUGGAUUAGUUAUCUGGCAGGGAGCUAAGGAUUUCAGUCCCAGUUUCCAGGUUUGUAAUGACUUGGAUGACAUGAAUGCUGGUGUAUAUGGAUGCAUGGAGGUUGCUAUAUACACUGUAACAAUUAGGAGAAGAAGGCCUGUAGUGGUGUGAUGAUAAGAGCUAGUCUCCCUGAGGUAUUCCUCUUGCUUUGGCGAGAAUAAGAACUGGGUGGUGAGCUGGAACAGGAUAAAAUUAUACUUCACAUCUGAGAAGAUUCUACUGUUAACACUUACCCCACAACAAAGUUCCUGGCAAGGAGCAGACAAGAAAUGUACAUCAAUUCCUUCAGGCACUGCCAGGCUGAGAAUGAAACAUGCUUCUGUAUCAUCAGGAACUGCCCAAUCAUACAGAAUGCAGGAAUUAAAAGGCACGAUUAAAUCUGUGAAAUGUUAUCAAAGGAAGCUAAAAAGAAAGAUUGGACAAUGCUUCAGGAACCAAAUAUAAAAGAUGACAGUAAUGAGUUACAGGAAGUGGACGUAAGUUUUGCGAAGGAGAACCAAUCAUUUGUGGUGGCUGUGACUAUGUGACAUGAAUAUCUUGACACAUCUUUAGAAGAGGCCAUGAUGGAAAAAAUGAAGAAAUACCAACAUCUUCACAAACUCAUUCAGGAACUAACAAAUGUGUGUUCAGAAUCUCCAGAUGGGUCUUCAAGUCAGUAAGGUUAAGGGAGAAGUUAAAACAACAAAGAAAAGGAAUGGUGUUAGAACUGGUACCCUUUUAUGCUAGUACCUGAAAGAACCAAAGAACCAAGAAGUACUAGAGCCUGUGCUGAGGAGAACCCUUUGUCAGACACAAGGAGCAGAAGGAGAGCUUGUGGACAUGGAGGGUGACUGGGCCUUCCAUGGUAACGGACUGCUCCAAAUCCACUAAGACCUUUCCAGGACACUGACAGAAAUAAUGCAGCAUCAGUUGGCAUGACGGAAGAAAGAGUACAUUCAAGAAUUCAGUUAAUCAUUCCAUGAAAAUGUCAACACGGGAGAUGACAGAUAGGACAAAAACACCUAUUGGUCUUUCAACUUUGCUUGAUUGACUAGUUACCUGCAGCUUUGAAUAUGGACUAGAAU